rnacentral:ncRNA from 1 species
UGGCUGCCAUAGCUCCGAGCUUUCACUGCUAAGUUCGCAACAUGCGGAUAUGAAGUGUCAGCCAGUGACGUUUUGUCACAAGGGUUUGUUUGGAAAUGAGCAAGCCUCCCGUGUUUGGAAAGGUGUUCCGUGGCGCAACAAU